rnacentral:rRNA from 1 species
CGUUGUUCGGAAUUACUGGGCGUAAAGCGCACGUAGGCGGCUUUGUAAGUUAGAGGUGAAAGCCUGGAGCUCAACUCCAGAACUGCCUUUAAGACUGCAUCGCUUGAAUCCAGGAGAGGUGAGUGGAAUUCCGAGUGUAGAGGUGAAAUUCGUAGAUAUUCGGAAGAACACCAGUGGCGAAGGCGGCUCACUGGACUGGUAUUGACGCUGAGGUGCGAAAGCGUGGGGAGCAAACAGGAU